GCAGCCUGGUAGCUCGUCGGGCUCAUAACCCGAAGGUCGUCGGUUCAAAUCCGGCCCCCGCAACCA
rnacentral:tRNA from 7 species